CACGUAGGGGCCAAGCGUUGGUCCGGAUUUAUUGGGCGUAAAGAGCUCGUAGGCGGUUCGACAAGUCGGGUGUGAAAACUCCGGGCUCAACCCGGAGACGCCACCCGAUACUGUCGUGACUGGAGUCCGGUAGGGGAGUGGGGAAUUCCUGGUGUAGCGGUGAAAUGCGUAGAUAUGCGGAGGAACACCGAUGGCGAAGGCAAUCCCCUGGACCUGUACUGACGCUCAUGCACGAAAGCGUGGGGAGCAAACAGG
rnacentral:rRNA from 1 species